GUUUCGGUAGCUCAGGGGUAGAGCAAUCGGCUGCAGUCCUCACAGGAUGGAUCCGAUAGGUCAGGCGUUCAAAUCGCCUUCGAAACU
rnacentral:tRNA from 1 species